CAAACACUAAUGGCUGAAGAAGACAGCCUGUCCCUGGGCUUGGGAGUAGCCCGGGGCAAAAAUUCUCCCUAUAGCUGCCAUGACAGGAGCAGUGAUCUGUCUCUGAAGCCACUGUCAACCCUGGAGUCCUGGAUGCUGCACUGUCACCUGUGAGCCUUGAGUUAUAACAUUCUUCAUCAUCUUGAUUUAGGUGGCUGCCCCGCCUGCACUGGCAGCAAGGAGUCCAGGUGGCACCUGGCACUUAGGACUUGAACUCUGGAAGACCUACCCUUCAGCAGUGUGGGUUUCACACUGCCGUGAGGCCUAACAGAUGUGACUACGAGACAAUAGCCAGCGACACUCUUGGUCUGGUUCCCUAACUAGGGAGCAGCUUUCUGGGAAGCCAAGAGGGGAGUCUGUGCCAGGCCAAAUAGGUAAUUAGCACUAACAGAAACCCUAGUGCCCAGAGAUCAAAAUUGCUCCAGGCCAUGGAACACUGGCUCCCCAGUAAAGGAUUGGUGAGUCAGACCCCUGUGAUGGAGGAGUGUCCCAUACCAGGGACCCGGACGCAGAUUCUCUCUCUCACUAAGCCAGUGCCCUGUUCUUCCACCUGCCUGCAGUCACUAGUUAUGUCCCAGGGAGUUGCUUCUGGAAUAUUCUCUUUCCAAUACAAGCUGAAUGGUAAUUUUUCAAACUUCCUGCUUCCUGGAUCCCCUUCUCCCAUUCUUUCUAGUCCUCCAUCCCUGGCUUUUUUGAAAGGCCAUCUUUGGACCCUCCCAGUACUGUCAACAUAUAGUCUUUGCCUGCAAUCCUGGGGUCACAUAAGAAGAGUACUGGAACUUGAUAUGCUAUGCUCAGUUGAUAUCCCUGGGAGGCCUGUCAUUUUCUGAAGGGAACCAGGGGAGGA